GGCUAGUAGAACAAAUAUUCUGUCAUAGCCAAUUAAAAGCAAACCUUAAUACGCCCGCAAUGAUGCCAAACGUACCUCAGUAACAUCGACAACGUUAUCAACUCACUCCCACUAUCAAUCGUCAUCGUGUUCUCACUAUCAUCAACAGCAAAUGCCAAAGCAUUUGUAUCAUAUAGCGCUAGGUCCAAUAAACCCGAAGAUGUUUUAAAUCACAAGAUCUCACCACUCGUUCCGAAUUGGAAAUGAUAUUUCUUAGCUCAAAUCCACCAGCACUAUGAAUCUUGAUAACAUCUUUUACAACACUUACAGCUUCGUCCUCAGUGUCAAAACAAUCGACGUAAUCGUCGACGUAGUGACGGCCGAUUAUACCAUGCACUGCUCGAGGGGCUUCUUCAAAAAAUCUUUGGGCAUUUAAGUUUUUAAUAAACUGGGAAAUUGUUGGCGAACAUGUAGCUCCAAAUAUCAUCCUCUGCAUAACGUACACUUCCACUUUUUUAUUUUUGUCCCCAUUUCUCCACAAGAAAUCCUAGUCGGCACCCAAGAUAAAUAACAAGACAAGUUUUACAAUUUUAAAUGAUUGAUGACAAAUGUUUGUGUAAUGUUUAUUCGCUAAUAAAUAAAGGAAAACAUUUAUAAAAAUUUAA
rnacentral:sRNA from 1 species